AAAAAAAAAAAAGAGAUGCGUUCUGAGGAGGCUUAACAGCCAGUGUUCUUCCUGCCCCAUGCUCCUUAGCUGUGUGUCACCCUGCUCAGUUUGUCAGCCACCUUUCUAAGUACUUCCCAUAGAUUAGCAAAUUGUAUCUUGCAACACAUCAUGAGGCAGGGCUGGAGAUGACAAACCAGAUAGAGAAGGGCUUAGCAACUUACUUGCUGGGCUUUGUUUGUCUGUUAAGUGGGGCUAGGAUUGUAAACUAGGCUGACUGGCACCUGAGGUCAAAUUCUUACCUUCCAUUGUUGCACCUAGAAUGAAGCUAGAUGCAUAAGAGGGAGUGUAAUAAAGAGGAGAUGGAUGAAGUUGGAUUUUGGUCUUGAUAGUUAGAGGAAGGAAGGAAUAGGGCAGGAGUUGGGGAGCAAUAAAGGCAAACAUCAAGGCUAUGGGGUGAGGGCAGGUAGAAGGAAACUUUGGUGCCUGUUUCGUAUUGUCCUUGCUCAGCUCACCAGCCCUGUGCCGCCAAUGACAAAGAUAGCUUGCUGAUUUCACCAGGAUAAUGCAGGUGGAUGGGCCACACUCCCGGUUGCCAAUGGCCUUAGUUGGAUUCCAGCCGAUAAGCUGCCUCUCCCAAGAAGAGCCACUUGGUGCCUUUGGUCCUCUCCAAAGGGUUGUCUGAGAUUCUGUUUCCUCUCUUUAGUCUUGUACAAAGGCGAGAGCUGGCAAAAUUGCCCGUGACCCUGAGAUGCUGCCAUACCUAGUCCUGGUCUCUCUUUGGCAGUAGAUGCUAGCUAGCCUCCUUCUGGCAAACACACACAGAUCUAGGAAAUCCUGAGUGUCCUGCUGCUCUCCUCUUAGCAGUGUAGUGUUCUGUCCCACUCACGGGUUUCAUUGUCUCCUAGAGGGCUUGCUUUUUAUAGAUGCUGCAGACAGUGGCCAAAAUACAUGCGUGUGUGUGUGUGUGUGUGUGUGUGUGUGUAUGUGUGUGUGUGUGUGAGUGAGUGUAUUUUGGAACUCAGAGUUUUGUAUAUGCUAAGCACAAACUACUGCCAAACUGCAAGGAUUAGUAAUCCCUUCAAGGCCUUUUUGUUUGUUUGCUUUUUUCGAGACAGGGUUUCUCUGUAUAGCCCUGGCUGUCCUGGAACUCACUUUGUAGACCAGGCUGGCCUCGAACUCAGAAAUCUGCCUACCUCUGCCUCCCAAGUGCUGGGAUUAGAGGUGUGUGCCACUACCGCCCGGCUUUUUUUUUUUUAAAACAAGGUAUAUGUGAUAGUUUGUGUAUGCUUGGCCCAGGGAGUGGCAAUUAGAAGGGGGUGGCCCUGUUGGAGUAGGUGUGGCCUUGUUGGAGUAGGUGUGUCACUGUGGGUGUGGGCUUUAAGACCCUCAUCCUAACUGCCUGGAAGCCAGUAUUCUUCUAGUGUAAGACUCUGGCGAGCCUUAGCUUACCAGGGGAGUGGGGAACCGAUGCAAAAAGCAAGAGGAAUUUAUUGUUCCAACAUGUUGGGGUUACCCUGCACAUGGAGAGAGAAGGACCACGAGCAGCCCAUCCAGUAGCCUUUAUACAGUUCUCCAGGCAGCAGCCAUUAGGCACCAUGUGAUUGGCAGAACAGUGCGACUUUUAAACUGAUUGGUCUAUAGGGAGUGAAUUGGCCGGACAACGGGUUGCAGAAUGUGUCUAUGAGCUCCAGUGCUUGGUCCCUCCCCCCUGUGGUCUGAGGAAUGUAAUUAGCUCUCCCUUCCAGAGGGGAGGGGUGCCUGUGUUCUUUAUAACCUUUGGCUUCCAGGAGGGGAGGGGUCUGGUGGACUUUUCUGAAGUUCCUGAGUUGACUUCUUCACUCGCAGCCUUCAGAUGAAGGUGUAGAACUCUCAGCUCCUCCUGCACCAUGCCUGCCUGGAUGCUGUCAUGUUCCUGCCUUGAUGAUAAUGGACUGAACCUCUAAACCUGCGGUCGGGUGAGUUGAACAAGAGUUGAAACUGAAGAAGCUAAAGAGACCAUCACCUGCAAGCUCCCAUUUAAGACUUCAGCUAGUCAACAUGGUGGGGGCGUGGAGAAUCAGGGCCAGAGUGAAGAUGUCGUCUUCUCCAGCUUGAGACAGAGAGACCCAGCCACCCAAAGCUGACGUCAGAAGAAUUCCCUUGAGAGGGGCUGCUGGGAGGGGUAGUCUUAAGGUUGUCCUGAGAUCUGCUUUUUCCCUGGUGGUAACCUGGUUACAUCGGCCGUAACCAUGGAGACUUGAAAAGGGGGCCACUGUGUCUGUGACAUUAUGGUCCAAAUGUUCACUCUUCCUUUUCCAAACGCCCUUCAGACUCUGAGAUAGUAAGGUUGGAAUAUUAACACAUAAGUAUGUUAAGGCAGUAGGGGGCACGCAACACUAAUUACCGAUGUCAAGUACUUGAAUCUAGGUUGUUUCACGAUGAGAUGUUGCUUGCUGUCGGUCACAGGUCAUGGGCACCUGGACAUGAACGCUUCUUCCUGGUUCUUUCCACAAGGUAAACUUCAUCUUUGGCACACACCCCAUACCUGUCAGCACCCUUCAGGUCUAAGCCAAGAGAACGUGGACAAGCCCCUUCAUGUAGGUUUGGCUUUCCAGUUACUGGUUCACAGCCAGCAAUCACACUGAAGCUCAGGCCUCUGCCAUCAGACUCCUGGAUGUGAAGGCAAACUCUGCUUUUUAACAGUUGUCUAAUGAGGACUAAGAAUCAACACACAGACUAAGAAA